rnacentral:rRNA from 1 species
UACAGAGGUCUCAAGCGUUGUUCGGAUUCAUUGGGCGUAAAGGGUGCGUAGGUGGCGCCGUAAGUCGGGCGUGAAAUUUCGGAGCUUAACUCCGAAACUGCAUUCGAUACUGCGGUGCUUGAGGACUGGAGAGGAGACUGGAAUUCAUGGUGUAGCAGUGAAAUGCGUAGAGAUCAUGAGGAAGACCAGUGACGAAGGCGGGUCUCUGGACAGUUCCUGACGCUGAGGCACGAAGGUCAGGGGAGCAAACGGG